UAUCAUCUCUAUAUAAUGUGAUCUUUUGAAUCUACAUUAAAAAGACAAACACAUCUGUAGAGAAAAAUGAGAAAAGAACAUGAGUUGGGUAUUUCAUUAGAGAGAAAAUCCAGUGGGCAGUAAGCAUAUGAGCAAAUGUUUUACCUCAUUAAUAAUCAAAUAAAUAGGCUGGGCAUGGUGAGUCACACCUGAAAUCCACGCACUUUGGGAGGCUGGUCUCGAACUCCUGACCUCAGGUGAUCCACCCACCUCAGCCUCCCAAAGUGCUGGGUUACAGUCAUGAGGCACUGUGCCUGCCCUACUUUUUUAUAAUAAAAAAUUAUAAAUAACAUAUUUUAGAGCCAGGAGUGGUAGCUCAUGGGUAUAAUCCCAGCAACUCAGGACAAUGAGUUGGGAGUAUCAUCUGAGACCAGUUCUAGACCAGCCUGGGCAACUUAGUUAGACUCCAUCUGUAAAAAAAAAAAAAAAAAAAAUUAAACUAGCAAGGAAUGGUGGAGUGUGUCUGCAGCCCAGCUACUUGGGAGGCUGAGGUGGAAGGAUCACUUGAGCCCAGGAGUUCAAGCCUGUGGUGAGCCAUGAUUGUACCACUGUACCCCAGCCUCGGCAAUAGAGCAAGACUCCAUCUCUUUAAAAAAAAUUACAUGUUUGUAAGCGUUUAAGGUGAUCUUACUGUACCAGAUGUUCAAAAUAGUACUGUUAUCUAGCUUAUAGGGCUGUUACGAUGACUAAAGGAAAUAAUUCUGUAAAGAACUGAAGUUCAGUGCCUGGCACACUAGGAAGUACUCAUGAAGUGGUAUUGAUGAGUUAGUAUUACUAAUAAUUGAAGGUGUUGCUGACAAUGUUGAGAGUUACUCAAUGUAAUUUUGCAAUGUAAGACAUUAUAAUUAUGUCAGAUUUUACAGGCUUUUAGUUCCAUAUGUAUUAUUAUUAUUAUUAUUAUUAUUAUUUGAGAAGGAGUCUCGCUCUGUCACCCAGGAUGGAGUGCCGGGUCACCUGCAGCUUCCUUCUCCCAGGUUCAAACGAUUCUCCUGCCUCAGUUUCUCUAGUAGCUGGGAUUACAGGUGCCUGCUAUCAUGCCCAGCUAACUGUUAUAUUUUUAGUAAAGACAGGGAUUUGCCAUGUUGGCCAGGCUGGUCUGAAACUCCUGACCUCAGGUAAUCCACCUGGCUCAGCCUCCCAAAGUGCUGGGAUUGCAGUGUGAGCCACCACACCCAGCCUCAGUUCCAUAUGUAUUUAAUGUCAGUUUUUAUUCAUUUACAAAAUGGAGUAAGAUGGGUCAAUAUUUCUUAACUAUUAUGACCAAACUGGACUUGUUAAUUAUUCUAGUUAGGAAACUGCAUUCGAAUCCUGUCCCAUCCCUCUGCUACCAGUAUUCUGUUAGAGUAGCCUACUUCCUUCACAGCUCUUGUUACAAUUUGUAAUUAUUUAUUUAUUCCUUUCUUGCAUUAUCAGUGUCCUCCAUUAGACUGUAUGCACAAUGCAGGUAGAAACUGUCUUGUUGACCAUUACUUCCGCAGUGCCAAGCCUAGUACCUAAAUAUGAUAAGCCCUUAGUAAGUAUUUGUUGAAUUGAUAAUUGUCGUAGUUUGAGAUGCUGGGCUUCAGUCCUAAUGGCUGAGAUGUCUGCGUUCAUGAAAAAGAUGUACAAAUAUUUGGACUCGUAUAGCACUAAAAUUAUCAUUACAACAAAAGUGGGUAUUUAGGUUAAAUUCUUUUACAAAACCAAUUCUUAGGUUCCUCUUAAGUUCAAAUCUGCUCUAGAAAGCUUUUUGGUAAGCAAACAGAUGACAUUUCCAAGGAUAUCUAAUUUGUUUUCCUUUUUAUAAGCAAAACUGGAUGUUCCAGGUUACACUUAAAAAAAAUUAUAACCCUUCAGAAUAUGAACACAUGGGAUUAAUUAUAUUUUAUUUUUGGCUUCUUUCUCUCAGAUUCACAGUUAAUAGAAGGAUCUCUAUAGUUGGAUUUGGCUUGUAUGGAUCUAUUCAUGGCCCUACAGAUUAUCAAGUGAAUAUACAGGUACAGUUUCCUCCCCCACCAUAUAUCAUUUUGAAAUAACACAAACAGGUAACUUUAAGAUAUUGUUUUGACAGAAUCCAAAUUUCAAUAUAAUUGUCAAAGCAAUCAGAAGGCCCCUUAGUAGCAUUGUAAGCAUAAAGAGUUCUGUUUUAGAGUUGAUCUAAAAAGUCUGGUUGCAGAAAAUUGGGGUCCUUCACAAAAGCAGUAGCAUAUAAGGAGCUCUUCUUUGUCCAGGAAUCCCUUCUAUUAGUACUUCCUGCUGUGCAGUCUUAAAACAUCCUCCUGCCUUUUUCAUGGCCCUUUCAACUCUAGGACUGAAACUAAAUUUCUUGUAACUGGUGUGAGCAUCCUGUGACUUCCAAGGGGCUGAGCAGACCCUGCUUUAUUCUUGGUUACUUUUUUUUGAGACAGGGUCUCACUUGGUCGCCCAGGCUGAAGAGCAGUGGUGCGAUCACAGCUCACUUCAGCCUUAAUCACCCAGGCUCAAGCAAUCCUCCCACCUCAGCCUCCCAAGUAGCUAGGACCACAGGUAUGUGCCACCAUGCCCAACUAAUUUUUCUUUCUUUUUUUUUUUGUCUCGCUGUGUUGCCCAGGGUGGUCUUGAACUCCAGGGCUCAAGUGAUCUUCCUGCCUUGGCCUCCCAAGGCAUUGGGAUUACAGGCAUUAGGCCCCUGCUUCUUUUUUUUUUUUUUUUUUUUUUUUUUUGAGAUGGAGUCUUGCUCUGUUGCCCAGGCUGGAGUGCAGUGGCGCGAUCUUGGCUCAUUGCAAGCUCCGCCUCCCGGGUUCACACAAUUCUCCUGCCUCGGCCUCCUAGCACUUUGGGAGGCCAAGGAAGGUGGAUCACGAGGUCAGGAGUUUGAGACCAGCCUGGCCAACAUGGUGAAACCCUGUCUCUACUAAAAAUACAAAAAAAUUAGCUGGGCAUGGUGGUGCAUGCCUGUAAUCCCAGCUACUCGGGAGGCUGAGAUAGGAGAAUUGCUUGAACUGGGACCUGGGAGGCAGAUGUUGCAGUGAGCCAAGGUCAUGCCACUGCCUUCCAGCCAGGGCUACAGAGUGAGACUCCGUCUCAAAAAAAAAAAAAAAAAGACACCAGGCUUCUUGUGUACAAACUGUGGGAGGGCAUCAGGAUUAUAGGUACAUUAAAAUUAUGAAGUAUAAAUACUGUGAGUAAAAUAAUAGAAACAGUCUGGGCGCAGUGGCUCAGAUCUAUAAUCCCAGUACUUUGGGAGGCCGAUGUGGAAGGAUUGCUUGAGCCCAGGAGUUCCAGACCAGCCUGGGCAACAGAACACGAUCCCAUCUCUACAAAAAAAAUGAAAAAUUAGGGCUGGGCGCAGUGGCUCACACCAGCACUUUGGGAGGCUGAGGUGGGCAGAUCGCUUGAGACCAAGAGUUGGAGAUCAGCCUGGCCAACAUGAUGAAACCCUGUCUCUACUAAAAAUACAAAAAAAUUAGCCAGGUGUGGUCGCGCACAUCUGUAAUCCCAGCUACUCAGGAGGCUGAGGCACGAAAAUUGCUUCAGCUUGGGAAGUGGAGGUUUCAGUGAGCCGAGACCCCAACACUGCACCCCAGGCUAGGCAACAGAGUGAGAGAGUCUGUCUCAAAAACACACACACACACACACCCACCAACAGAGUGAGAGAGUCUGUCUCAAACACACACACACACACACCACCCCCCACCCCCCCACCCCCAAGGCUAGGCAACAGAGUGAGAGUCUGUCUCAAAACACACACGCACACAUUGCUAAGGGCUUUAUAUUAUUUUCUAUAGUUUGCUUUAUUUGGUUUAACUUAAAUGUAACUUGUCUCUUAAAAAUUACAGAUCAUUGAAUAUGAGAAAAAGCAAACCCUGGGACAGAAUGAUACCGGCUUUAGUUGUGAUGGGACAGCUAACACAUUCAGGGUCAUGUUCAAGGAACCCAUAGAGAUCCUGCCCAAUGUGUGCUACACAGCAUGUGCAACACUCAAAGUAAGAGUCAUGCACUAUGUUCCAGAUGGUUUCCUCUUGAAUGUUGCAGAAUGUGUGUUUUAGAAGCUGAGAGUCACUGACAGCUGAGCCAUUUAUAAAGAGGGGGGAAAAGAAGCUGGGAGCUAAAAUAUUCCACUGCCUUCCGAAAAGAAGUACUUCUCCCCACAGCUCUGUUCUGAAAGAAAUAGCUCUUCUUAAGAAGUAGCCCUUUGUUUCAGUAAGCAGUUGAAUGUUUGGCAGAAAAUAAAAGUUAUUUUUGUAAAAUCUUUUCACUAUUCUCUAAUAGCUGGGCUGUACAUUCAGUAUUUUUAUUCAUUAAUUAGUUUUUUGGUAAAAACUUCAUUUUUCUCUAAAUGACAGCAUAAAAUUUUAUAUAGGAAUGAUAGUGAAAUAUAAUGGAACAUUAAUCUAAUUAAAACACCACAUUAAACUGAGUGCUUAUUAAAUGAAAAUUACUAAGGAACCUUUUGUUCUCAUUUAGGGUCCAGAUUCCCACUAUGGCACAAAAGGAUUGAAGAAAGUAGUGCAUGAGACACCUGCUGCAAGCAAGACUGUUUUUUUCUUUUUUAGUUCCCCUGGCAAUAAUAAUGGCACUUCAAUAGA
rnacentral:lncRNA from 1 species